CCAAAGCUGGAUGCUUAACCGACUGAGCCACCCAGGCGCCCCACAUUUGCCAGUUUUCAUGAGGUAUGUUUCCACCAUGGCUAGUUUCAAACUACUAAUGUUCCUGAACGUGUUGGGAAGAGACGCACACAAGAAGUUCUCCAGAGCCCAGGCAAGCAGAAGUAAAGCGCCCCGGUGUGGGCCCCAGUGAUACAAGCUUCCCCUUGAACAAGAAUGGUGGACAAGGGGACUCCAUGUUCUGGGUCAGGCUGCGUGUGGGCAGUUUUUACUGGCGACGUCACUUCAGAUUAGGUGAAAGAGUGGCCGCACCAGCUUGCAUUCCCAUCCUGACUUCCAGCACCGUAAACGAAUUUUCUCCAUCUUUGGAGUUCAUCUAAAUGGCAUCAUGCACUGGGUGGUUUUCUUGUAUCCGGCUUUUACUCAUUGUUAUAUCUGUGGGAUUUUAUCCAUGUGUCAUGGGUAAGAGUUUUCCCAUUUCUGGGUAGUUUUCCUAGUGCUGACUUUUAAUAACUUUACCUCAAUAAAAGGUUUUUGUUUUGUUUUAA